CACUCAAUAGCACAUGGUGUGCACCUGCUCAUCUUUGGAACUUGGAAAGAAGUUGUAGGCAGGAGGUCCUCGUUCGAUUCGGGGUUGGGUGA